GAUGAACGCUGGCGGCGUGCCUAAUACAUGCAAGUCGAGCGAACAGACGAGGAGCUUGCUCCUCUGACGUUAGCGGCGGACGGGUGAGUAACACGUGGAUAACCUACCUAUAAGACUGGGAUAACUUCGGGAAACCGGAGCUAAUACCGGAUAAUAUAUUGAACCGCAUGGUUCAAUAGUGAAAGACGGUUUUGCUGUCACUUAUAGAUGGAUCCGCGCCGCAUUAGCUAGUUGGUAAGGUAACGGCUUACCAAGGCAACGAUGCGUAGCCGACCUGAGAGGGUGAUCGGCACCCUUGGAAGUGAGACACGGUCAAGACUCCUAGGGGAGGCAGCAGUAGGGAAUCUUCCGAAAUGGGCGAAAGCCGGACGGAGCAACGCCGCGUGAGUGAUGAAGGUCUUCGGAUCGUAAAACUUUGUUAUUAGGGAAGAACAAAUGUGUAAGUAACUAUGCACGUCUUGACGGUACCUAAUCAGAAAGCCACGGCUAACUACGUG
rnacentral:rRNA from 1 species